CGAGCGGUAACAGGGGUAGCUUGCUACCCGCUGACGAGCGGCGGACGGGUGAGUAAUGCAUAGGAAUUUACCCGAUAGUGGGGGAUAACCUGGGGAAACCCAGGCUAAUACCGCAUACGUCCUACGGGAGAAAGGGGGCUUCGGCUCCCGCUAUCGGAUGAGCCUAUGCCGGAUUAGCUGGUUGGUGAGGUAAUGGCUCACCAAGGCAACGAUCCGUAGCUGGUCUGAGAGGAUGAUCAGCCACAUCGGGACUGAGACACGGCCCGAACUCCUACAGGAGGCAGCAGUGGGGAAUAUUGGACAAUGGGCGCAAGCCUGAUCCAGCCAUGCCGCGUGUGUGAAGAAGGCCCUCGGGUUGUAAAGCACUUUCAGCGAGGAAGAACGCCUGGCGGUUAAUACCCGCCAGGAAAGACAUCACUCGCAGAAGAAGCACCGGCUAACUCCGUGCCAGCAGCCGCGGUAAUACGGAGGGUGCAAGCGUUAAUCGGAAUUACUGGGCGUAAAGCGCGCGUAGGUGGCUUGAUAAGCCGGUUGUGAAAGCCCCGGGCUCAACCUGGGAACGGCAUCCGGAACUGUCAGGCUAGAGUGCAGGAGAGGAAGGUAGAAUUCCCGGUGUAGCGGUCAAAUGCGUAGAGAUCGGGAGGAAUACCAGUGGCGAAGGCGGCCUUCUGGACUGACACUGACACUGAGGUGCGAAAGCGUGGGUAGCAAACAGGAU
rnacentral:rRNA from 1 species